CAAUUUUAGGUCACUGCACGGUCUCCAACAUUGAGACUUAACCAUACCUCAUAGUAAGCUAUAGCAGAUUGAUUGGUGGUUGUUUCAGGCUUUUAAAAAACCUUAGACAAAUGACAAAAAAAAACAAAUAAGAAAACUUGCUGUCUUAUAUACAAAAUAAUAAAGGAAAAACAAAUAUGAUGAACGGAAUUACAGGCUACUACUCACAAGUAAACAUACAGAUAGUGACAGGGUAAAGGAGUCUUGCUAGCGCUUAAUAGUUUACAUAUGAAAUUUGUCAGAUCGAAAUCGACCAAAUGCAAGUGCACGUAAACAUGUACUUGUCUAAAAGACGGACGAAAGAUACCAAAGGGACAGUCAAACUCAUAAAUCUAAAACAAACUGACAACGCCGUGGCUAAAAAUGAAAAAGACAAACAAACAACAGCACACAGACACAACAUAGGAAACUAAAGAAUAAACAACAAGAACCCCACCAAAAAACUAGGGGUGAUCUCAGGUGCUCCGGAAGGGUAAGCAGAUCCUGCUCCACAUGCGGCACCCGUUCAUGAUCCCUUCUGUAGCCAGUUAACUACGAACUUUUCAAACUGCAAUAGUAUCAAGACAACAAAUAUAUUAAAUUAUAAAGAUAUGCCAUUUUGUUCGUAUACCAAGGGGAAACUCCUUGCAAAGAAUUAUUGUUAACUGUUUCAUUGCAUUUUAAUAGAAAAAAGUG
rnacentral:lncRNA from 1 species